AUGGCGACCACCGACAGCAUCAGGGUCUCCGCCGCCCAGCAGACGAGCUUUGCCCUGCGCCUCGCCUCCGCCAUCUCCUCCCCCUCCAGCGUCGACGGCGCACGCGGCAAUGUUGCCUUCUCUCCGCUGUCCCUCCACGUCGUGCUCAGCCUCAUCGCCGCAGGCGCCGCCGGCGCCACCCGCGACCAGCUCGUCGCCACGCUCGGCGCAGGCGAGGCCGAGGGGCUCCACGCGUUCGCCAAGCAGGUGGUGCCGCUGGUGCUCGCCGACUCCUCGGGCGCCGGCGGCCCGCGCGUCUCGUUCGCCAAUGCCGUCUUCUCCGACGUCGCUGCCGCUCAGGCCGUCCUUUUUUUUCGAGAGUACGCCAAUGGCGUACCAUAUUUUUAUAGAAGGAAGCAAAGUAUUUACAAGAGACCGACGAACAAUGCGAACAUUAGUCGCCAGCACACCCACACCGAAAAAACCAAAAGCUAA
rnacentral:rRNA from 1 species